GAAUGAAACUUUUAAUAAAAAAGAGAAAUAAAGAAAAAAUUGAAAUUGAAGUUGUUGGAGAUGGAGAUUGCGGAUUCUUUCAAUCCGUCAAUUCCGCUUUUCGUUUUCCUCUACUCUUCCUCCU
rnacentral:ribozyme from 1 species